rnacentral:rRNA from 1 species
UGCCAGCAGCCGCGGUAAUACGAAGGGGGCUAGCGUUGUUCGGAAUCACUGGGCGUAAAGCGCGCGUAGGCGGACUGGUCAGUUAGGGGUGAAAGCCCAGGGCUCAACCCUGGAAUUGCCUCUAAUACUGCCAGUCUUGAGUCCGAGAGAGGUGAGUGGAAUUCCUAGUGUAGAGGUGAAAUUCGUAGAUAUUAGGAAGAACACCAGUGGCGAAGGCGGCUCACUGGCCCGAUACUGACGCUGAGGUGCGAAAGCGUGGGGAGCAAACAGGAUUAGAUA